CAAACAGGGAUAGUUUCACUGUGUUCCUAUUUAGAUGGCCUUUAUUUUCUUGUUUUGCCUGAUUGUUCUGGCCAGGACUUCCAGUACUAUGUUUAGUAUGAGUGGAGACAGGGGGCAUCCUUGUCUUAUGCCAGUUUUCAAGGUGAAAGCUUCCAGCCUUUCCCCAUUCAGUAUAAUGCUGGCUGUCGGUUGCUCCCAGAUGGCUCUUAUCUCGAGGUAUAUUCCUUUAAUACCUAGUUUACUGAGAUUUUUUUACAUAAAGUGAUGUUGAAUUUUAUCAAAAGCCUUGUCUACAUCUAUUGACAUAAUCAUGGGGUUUUUGUCUUUAGUUCUGUGUAUGUGCUAGAUUACAUGUAUUGAUUUGCAUAUGUUGAACCAACCUUGCAUACCUGACAUGUCUAUUUGAUUGUGGUGGAUUAUCAUUUUGAUGUGCUGCUGGAUUCGGUUUGCAAGUAUUUUUUUUCUUUUUUUUUUUUCUUGAUUGUUUCCUUUGCUGUGCAGAAGCUUUUUGACUUAAUUAGAUACAAUUUAUCCAUUUUACUUUGGUUGCCUGUGCUUGUGCAGUAUUACUCAAGGUUCCUUUGCCC
rnacentral:lncRNA from 1 species